UAGUUUGAUUCUAACUAAUAAAUUAAACUAUAAAUUGCUCCCCAUGUAUAAGUAAUUUAAAAUAAAAAAAAUAUAUAGUAUAACAAGAAUGAAUUAUCUAUAUUACAGUGGUUAAUCCUAUAAUUAUAUGUUAAAGCAUGAAAUGGCAAUUAUUAUUACAAAUCGACAAAAUUCGUGCCAGCAGUCGCGGUUAGACGAUAGAUAUUUAAUUUUAAAAAUCCUUUGAGGUGAAAUAAAUAAAAUUUUUAAGGUCUAAUUUAUACCUUUAUAGAAUCUAACUCAUCUUAUUUAAACUAAAAAUUAAAACAAGGAUUAGAUACCCUUCUAUUUUUAGCUUACCAAAAUGGAUUGGUUAAUACGAACAAUAGUUUAAAAUCCAAAGAAUUUGGCGGUACUUUAUUUUAAUCAGGGGAACCUGCCUCAUAACUCGAUAACCCACGAAUAUCUUUACCUAAAUUAGAAUUUAAACAGUUAGUGUACUGCCGCCUUAAGUAUACCUUUAUGAGAGUAUACAAUAAAAAUAAUUUUUUAGACGACAGGUCAAAGUGCAGCUAAUAUUUAGGAGACGGUGGGUUACAAACUAUAUUAAAGAUUACGGAUAAGAAAAUUAAUAAUUCUUUAAAGGUGGACUUGAAAGUAAUUAGAUUAAACUAAUGAAAAUAAAACUAAAGUAAGCACACAUCGCCCGUCACUCCCUCUGGGAUAAGUCGUAACAUAGUAGAUAUAAUGGAAAUUGUAUCUAG
rnacentral:rRNA from 1 species